CUGCGCAUGUCAGUUUGUCAUUGAUAAAUGGUCAGAUCCAAAAACUUGUAAACAAACUCCCGGGACAGAGCAGCUCAUCUAAAUUAUGGACAUUUAUCACGUAAUUAAGGAUUGCAAAAUAGCUGAUGCAGAUGCAGUGGUUCAUUAUCCAAGAUGGUGGACAAGACCAUCCUGAUAAUUACAAUUGGGAGGAGAACUAUGUGGGGCUGGAGAGGAGAACUAUGUGGAGCUGGAGAGGAGAACUAUGUGGAGCUGGAUGAUGAACAAGAGUGGAAGUGAAAUGAAGUCGGCCGUGAACUCAACCAUCUUUACUGGAUAAGUCAAUUUUGAGAGUAGUUCUGCUGUGUGAUAUAUAUUUACCUUUGAGGGUCUUGGCUGAGAGUAGUUUUGCUCUGUAAAAUCAUUGUACUCAAAGGAUUAAAUCAUCAUACCCAAGGGGGUCAAAUCAUCAUACUCAAGUGGUUAAAUCAUCAUACUCAAGGGGUCAAAUCAUCAUAUACAUAGGGCUGAACUUUAUUUAUUAGCAUGAUACUGAAUAGGUCAAACUUGCAUCAACACAGUAAACAUUAGUACAUAUUUAAGUACAUUAUAUCUUUUAUUUCAGAUGUGCACUGCAGUAUCCCUGAAGAGGCUGAAUGUGGGUAUCUUAUGCUGGUGGACAAUUCUGCAGCCCAAGGAACCAAGGAGAUGACUGAGGCACCACUACCACCACCACCAGGUGACUGAGGCACCACUACCACCA